AGAUUAAUGGUAAUUCUGAGUAACUAUGUUCUGCAGGAGGGUUAUUUUGUAGUCAUUCUGUUGAUCUUCUUAUGUUAGCUCUAAAUAUAAUUGCUCGGUUUGUAAUCAUUCUUUCUCAUAUAAUUACAAUGAAUAUAAUGAUUCCUACAAUAGAAAUUGUAGACCCAAUUCUUGAUACUACGUUUCAUGAUGUAUAUGCAUCUGGGUAGUCAGAGUAUCGUCGAGGUAUUCCUGCUAAUCCUAGGAAGUGUUGAGGAAAGAAUGUUAAAUUUACUCCAAUGAAUAUAAUUGUAAAUUGGAUUUUUAAUCAUGUAUUAUUUAUAGUUAAUCCUGUAAAUGGUGGAUAUCAUUGAAUGACACCUCCUAUAAUUGCAAAUACUGCUCCUAUAGAUAAUACAUAAUGAAAGUGGGCUACUACAUAAUAUGUAUCAUGUAAUACAAUAACAAGUGAUGAAUUUGCUAAUACUAAUCCUGUUAAUCCACCAAUUGUAAAUAGGAAAAUAAAUCCUAGAGCUCAUAAUAAUGGUGGAUUGAACUUGAAUUUAGUUCCAUAUAAUGUAGCUAAUCAUCUAAAUACCUUAAUUACUGUAGGUACAGCAAUAAUUAUUGUUGCUGAUGUAAAAUAUGCUCGUGUGUCAACAUCCAUUCCUACUGUAAAUAUAUGAUGUGCUCAUACAAUAAAUCCUAUUAGUCCAAUUGAUAGUAUAGCAUAAAUUAUACCUAAUGUUCCAAAUGAUUCAAUUUUUCCUCUUUCUUGACAUACAAUAUGUGAAAUAAUUCCGAACCCCGGUAGAAUUAAAAUAUAAACUUCUGGGUGUCCAAAGAAUCAAAAUAGA